rnacentral:rRNA from 1 species
CAGUCGCCGCGGUAAUACGUAGGCGGCAAGCGUUGUCCGGAAUUAUUGGGCGUAAAGCGCGCGCAGGCGGAUCAGUCAGUCUGUCUUAAAAGUUCGGGGCUUAACCCCGUGAUGGGAUGGAAACUGCUGAUCUAGAGUAUCGGAGAGGAAAGUGGAAUUCCUAGUGUAGCGGUGAAAUGCGUAGAUAUUAGGAAGAACACCAGUGGCGAAGGCGACUUUCUGGACGAAAACUGACGCUGAGGCGCGAAAGCCAGGGGAGCGAACGGGAUUAGAUACCCCGGUAGUCCCUGUCUCUUAUACA